rnacentral:rRNA from 1 species
ACUCAAAUGAAUUGACGGGGGCCCGCACAAGCGGUGGAGCAUGUGGUUUAAUUCGACGCGACGCGCAGAACCUUACCUGGGCUAGAAAACGUAGGAACUUGGGUGAAAACUCGAGGUGCCCUUCGGGGAAUCUACGGUUAGGUGUUGCAUGGCUGUCGUCAGCUCGUGUCGUGAGAUGUUGGGUUAAGUCCCGCAACGAGCGCAACCCUUGUCGUUAGUUGCCAGCAUUAAGUUGGGCACUCUAACGAGACUGCCGACCUUUAAGUCGGAGGAAGGUGGGGAUGACGUCAAGUCCUCAUGGCCCCUAUGUCCAGGGCUACACACGUGCUACAAUGGCCGGUACAAAGGGUCGCGAAACCGCGAGGUGGAGCCAAUCCCAAAAAACCGGCCUCAGUACGGAUAGGAGUCUGCAACUCGACUCCUUGAAGGCGGAAUCGCUAGUAAUCCCUGAUCAGCAUGGCAGGGGUGAAUACGUUCCCGGGCCUUGUACACACCGCCCGU